rnacentral:rRNA from 1 species
GACGAACGCUGGCGGCGUGCUUAACACAUGCAAGUCGAACGGAAAGGCCCUGCUUUUGUGGGGUGCUCGAGUGGCGAACGGGUGAGUAACACGUGAGUAACCUGCCCUUGACUUUGGGAUAACUUCAGGAAACUGGGGCUAAUACCGGAUAGGAGCUCCUGCUGCAUGGUGGGGGUUGGAAAGUUUCGGCGGUUGGGGAUGGACUCGCGGCUUAUCAGCUUGUUGGUGGGGUAGUGGCUUACCAAGGGUUUGACGGGUAGCCGGCCUGAGAGGGUGACCGGCCACAUUGGGACUGAGAUACGGCCCAGACUCCUACGGGAGGCAGCAGUGGGGAAUAUUGCACAAUGGGCGGAAGCCUGAUGCAGCAACGCCGCGUGCGGGAUGACGGCCUUCGGGUUGUAAACCGCUUUCGCCUGUGACGAAGCGUGAGUGACGGUAAUGGGUAAAGAAGCACCGGCUAACUACGUG